UUUUUAAGUAGGCGGAGCAAUCUUCCUGCCUGGCCGAGCCGAGGGGGGCCGGUAAAAGAAAGAUCCGCGAUAAUUGCAAGUGUCGCGAGGUUUGACAUCGCUGGCUGGGCUGGCGCGCGUUUUGCUGCAGGGAGAGGCUGAGAGGGAUUGAGUCUCACUGUGUUGCCCUAGGUGGAGUGCCAUGGCAUCACAUCUCACAGCAACUUCACACUCUUGGGCUAAAGUGAUCCUGUUGCCUCAGCCUCCCAGGAAGAAGUUUGUUUGAACUCUGAGAAGGAAGAAAUUCAUCUAGCUCAUCAAUUUCUAAUCUCUUCAUCGGGCAGAAUGUUUCUCAGGAGACAGCCUUCACCAAGAAGAACAUUUACACAGGAGCCCUCUCUGGUUAGACUAAGGAAACAUACUAUGCCCUGUAGCUGCAACAGCCUUUGCAUCCAUUGAAGAGAGUAAGACUUGCUUUAAGAUCGAAAGAUAAAAGCUGGUACUGAGGUCUGGUUAAAGAUGGCGGAGGAAACAGGCUUAGAGAACAGCCAGUCCAGAAGGGGCUAGUCAGAAAGCCCAGUUUGAUGAAACUGAUUGCAGCCUAAGUGUGUUUGAAUAUAUAGAGAGGAAAUCAUACAACUGGGCAAGUGUUUGGUGUUGAAUUAAUGAGCCAAUAGGAUGCUAAGCAAAUGUAAAAAUAAAAAGCUCAAUAUCAUCUCCAGGGAAAAACAAAAUGUUAUUCAAGAAAGAAAAAGCAUGCAUAGUACACUGAGUUAGAUAUGUUUUAUAUCCCAUUUGCAUUGUCGUAAUUAUAUGAAUAGGAACUAUCUAUUCUAAAUUGCAACACAACUAUCUUUAGAAGAUGGAGAGGUAGAUACCAGUGUGCAUGGGAGAGGAAAGGGUGACGUAAGGGUGGGAGAAAAGGAGAGUGUGGAAUGUCCAUCUUUCAAAUUGGAAACUCAAUAGAUAAUGACAAAAUAUCAAAUGUCAAAUAGAAGUAUAUUAUUUAAACAGAUAGUCGCUUCUGGAAAAAAGAAAAGAGGUUGUGGAGGACUGUCUUUUUGUUUGUUUGUUUGCUUAAAUAAGCAAUGUGGAUGAAAGUACAGGUUAAGCUGCUUUAGCAAAAAUACUCCAAAAUACAGAGACUUAUACACAAUAGGGAUGUUCUUCUUGUUUGAUAAGGUCUAAAGAGAAGCAAUCUAGGUUGGAAGGUCAUCUCCAUGACCCUCAAAAUGUGGUUUCCAUCUCUGGGACCAAGGCAGCUGCUCUAGUUCUUGUCUUCCCAGCCUGUGGGAAGGAGAAAAAGGUCAGGGGAGCACAUGUGCCUCCCUGAGAGAUGUUCGCCCCACCAGGGCCAUGCAGCCAUUGGCUGAAUGUAGGCACGAGGCCAGCUGGGAGGGAGGACACAACACCUAGGGUCUAGCUGUUGCUCUGUGUGCUGUUCAGCUAAAAUGCUGGUGUUCUGCUAUUAAAGAAGGUGAGAAUUGACGCAAAUGCUCAACCAGCAGUCUCUGUCAAAUAACC